rnacentral:rRNA from 1 species
GACAGAGGGUGCAAACGUUGCUCGGAAUCACUGGGCGUAAAGGGCGUGUAGGCGGGAAGGAAAGUCAGAUGUGAAAUCCCUGGGCUCAACCCAGGAACUACAUUUGAAACUCCCUUUCUUGAGUACCGGAGAGGAAGGUGGAAUACCUGGUGUAGAGGUGAAAUUCGUAGAUAUCAGGUGGAACACCAGUGGCGAAGGCGGCCUUCUGGACGGUAACUGACGCUGAGACGCGAAAGCGUGGGGAGCAAACAGG